GAAGCAUCUCUUAAACGCAACAAAUCUAUUUCUGUCAAAUAAGCAACCUAUAAGCUGAAAAGUUACUGGGGCCCUCAACUUGAAGUGACAAACUACUUAGGACUUGAACAAAAAAUUCCGAUGUCAUUUCCCUGCAAAGUUCUAUACCGUCCAUAUAUAUUGAAAAUACGUGUAUGCAGAUGCGGCCAAAGAUUACAGCAGCUUUGGUUGGUCAUCUUGUAAGGCUCUGAUCUCCCGUCGCUCCUUGGCAGGGCUAAUUACGAUCACACUUGGCUGAACCCGCUGACCGCAGUUUUGGACCUGGAUUUGUAUUGGACCUGGAUUGGGUUUUCUCGAUGUCGCAAAACCAAAAACAAAAUGAGAAGGAAAAAAAUCCAGUUGUUGACAACUUAAGUAAGGCGACACCCCAGGUAGAAUGGGUGUUCUUCAGGUACUCAGGAUCUCUGCACAUUUAAAACUCAUCCUUUUCACAUUUGGUUGUGGUGUGGUUGCAAAAACACAGGACACUUCAAGAAAAUAAAGCAGAUUCUUGGCGGGUUACAGGUUCCGACGCACAUAACUGAAGAUCAUCCUUGGGUUGUGGGCGAUGAUCCUGUGUCGAAGAAACUGAUCUUGAUCCCUCAGGAGUUGCUCAUAAUCAUCCAGUCCGUCAUUCAUCAGUCUACCAUCAGCAUAGGUCCGGUUUCCACCUGCAAAUCGUCGAUGGAGUCGUCGAUUUCGUUGACAACUGCAAAGAAA
rnacentral:sRNA from 1 species